rnacentral:rRNA from 1 species
AGAACGAACGCUGGCGGCAGGCCUAACACAUGCAAGUCGAACGCUCGUAGCAAUACGGGAGUGGCGCACGGGAGAGUAACGCGUGGGAACCUACCUUUUGGUUUGGGAUAACGUCGGGAAACUGACGCUAAUACCGGAUAAGCCCUUCGGGGGAAAGAUUUAUCGCCGAUAGAUGGGCCCGCGUUAGAUUAGCUAGUUGGUGAGGUAACGGCUCACCAAGGCGACGAUCUAUAGCUGGUCUGAGAGGAUGACCAGCCUCACUGGGACUGAGACACGGCCCAGACUCCUACGGGAGGCAGCAGUGGGGAAUAUUGGACAAUGGGGGCAACCCUGAUCCAGCCAUGCCGCGUGGGUGAAGAAGGCCUUCGGGUUGUAAAGCUCUUUCGCUAGGGACGAUAAUGACGGUACCUAGACAAGAAGCCCCGGCUAACUUCGCGCCAGCAGCCGC